CAGCAGCCGCGGUAAUACAGAGGGUGCGAGCGUUAAUCGGAUUUACUGGGCGUAAAGCGUGCGUAGGCGGCUAAUUGAGUCGGAUGUGAAAUCCCCGAGCUUAACUUGGGAAUUGCAUUCGAUACUGGUUAGCUAGAGUGUGGGAGAGGAUGGUAGAAUUCCAGGUGUAGCGGUGAAAUGCGUAGAGAUCUGGAGGAAUACCGAUGGCGAAGGCAGCCAUCUGGCCUAACACUGACGCUGAGGUACGAAAGCAUGGGGAGCAAACAGGAUUAGAUACCCGUGUAGCCCUGUCUCUUAUACA
rnacentral:rRNA from 1 species